rnacentral:rRNA from 1 species
UACGGGGGGGGCAAGCGUUGUUCGGAAUUACUGGGCGUAAAGGGCUUGUAGGUGGCCAACUAAGUCCGACGUGAAAUCCCUCGGCUUAACCGAGGAACUGCCAUCCAGACUGCUUUGCUUGAGGCCGGGAGAGGUGAGUGGAAUUCCCAGUGUAGCGGUGAAAUGCGUAGAUAUUGGGAGGAACACCAGUGGCGAAGGCGGCUCACUGGACCGGUUCUGACGCUGAUGCGCGAAAGCGUGGGGAGCAAACGGG